UGCUGAUGAUGUGGACAAUCCUGAAGAAGAUCCUUGAAGUGCUCCCAAGCAUGAUAUAAAUUCUUAUUUAGCUUUUGUUUGAAGCACGGAAUCUCACUAUUCAAUCU
rfam:Capsicum annuum cultivar Zunla-1 chromosome 12, whole genome shotgun sequence